UACCAGCACCCCGAGUGGUCGGGACGUUUAUUGGGACUAAAGCAUCCGUAGCCGGUUCUACAAGUCUUCCGUUAAAUCCAACUGCUUAACAGGUGGGCUGCGGAAGAUACUAUAGAGCUAGGAGGCGGGAGAGGCAAGCGGUACUCGAUGGGUAGGGGUAAAAUCCGUUGAUCCAUUGAAGACCACCAGUGGCGAAGGCGGCUUGCCAGAACGCGCUCGACGGUGAGGGAUGAAAGCUGGGGGAGCAAACCGG
rnacentral:rRNA from 1 species